GAAAGAUUCAUCGGAAGAGGAUGGGCAUGCGGCGCAUUAGCUAGACGGCGGGGUAACGGCCCACCGUGGCGACGAUGCGUAGGGGUUCUGAGAGGAAGGUCCCCCACACUGGUACUGAGACACGGACCAGACUCCUACGGGAGGCAGCAGUGAGGAAUAUUGGUCAAUGGGAGAGAUCCUGAACCAGCCAAGCCGCGUGAGGGAAGACGGCCCUAUGGGUUGUAAACCUCUUUUGUCGGAGAACAAAACCCGGGACGAGUCCCGGACUGCGUGUAUCCGAAGAAAAAGCAUCGGCUAACUCCGUGCCAGCAGCCGCGGUAAUACGGAGGAUGCGAGCGUUAUCCGGAUUUAUUGGGUUUAAAGGGUGCGUAGGCGGUCCGUUAAGUCAGCGGUAAAAUUGCGGGGCUCAACCCCGUCGAGCCGUUGAAACUGGCAGACUUGAGUUGGCGAGAAGUACGCGGAAUGCGCGGUGUAGCGGUGAAAUGCAUAGAUAUCGCGCAGAACUCCGAUUGCGAAGGCAGCGUACCGGCGCCAGACUGACGCUGAGGUACGAAAGCGUGGGGAUCGAACAGGAUUAGAUACCCUGGUAGUCCACGCAGUAAACGAUGAAUGCUGGUUGUCCGGGUCGAAUGA
rnacentral:rRNA from 1 species